CAAAAAAUCCCGGAGAGAGUUUUCAGCCAUUUAUAAACACCAAGAGACAAGGCAUAGUUAAAAUAUUUUCAGAAUAUUUCCUGCUAUGUUUUGAUAAAUCGAAAUAUCUCUCGUGGAAUAUAGGAAACCAACGAAAAAUCGAGAGAGAGAGAGAGGAGAGUAUAUGAACUGGGUAACACACUUCAGAGAUGGCUUCCAGGUGUUGUUGGGACGUUGUUGUCCAGAUGUUGUUCGAAAUACGGAGAGAAGUCUUAACCCAGGAAUAAUCAUCGUAUUUACAGUGAAUGCCUAUUCACUGGUGAGGUUCCUCCUGACGACUGAUGAUGACGGUGAACAGUCCAAGGAAAAGGAACUGAACGAGAGAAUUGCAGCCUUGCGAGACACCAUCCAGUCCCAGAGAGAGUAGCAGGUGAACUUGGACAGGAUAAUUCGUCAGCUGCAACAGAGGACCGACCACUCGAAGUUGAGACGUUGUUUCUGAAGGAGAACGAUCAAGAGAAGAGGGAAAAACAGCAGCUCGAAGACAAGAUCCUCAAGACAGAAGAAAAUCAGCAGCUGAUGGACAAGACAAAGGAAUUUAUGGCAGAGAAACGAUGCCCUAUGUGACUGUGUAGUUGGCAGAGGUAAACAGCCAGGUUGAGAGGCAAGAGAAACUCCUACGACAGAAGGAGAACGACCUGCAACUAAAGACAGCAGAAGCGGCGCGGAUGGCGAGGCUCAUCCAGGAAAAACGACGCGACCGAAAAGCGCGAAUCCGGCGCCUGCAGAAUGAAGUGGAAAGCAUGACGAAGAAAGGGAAGGGUGGACUCCAGCGUGAAGAUCAGGCUGCGUAACUCAAAGGAACGAGCUGAAAUGCCUUUUUUGAGGAAGGAAAUCGUCGACUGGUGGUGUACAGGCCGAACUGAAGGACCAGCUGGAAGGUGAAGUUCGACAGAUGCGAGGAGCGAAGGAGAAAUUGGUUUGCAAGCUCAAGAACCUGCAGGGGAAUUACAGAUGCCUGGAGAAGUGCAGGAGCAGCUAUCCAUCUUCAAGGAAUGGCACGAUCCAGUCUAAGCUGGACUCACGAAGAGGGAUCAGAUUUGAAAAAUUAGAGAAUGUAUAUUGUAUGGAAUAUUUAGUUAAUCUAAAUAAAUAAAGUUUAUUUACAAAAAUGGCAAUUUUCAUUUACAAAAUAAUUCUUUACAGUAAUAUUUGUUAUAUACAUAAUAAUACGAGUUUAACUCUAGUUUAAAGGACUUCUUUCAUAAAUCCAUCUUUUAAAAUUGAUUUUAGUUUGUGACCAUAAAUGGAUCUUAGGAGUCAUCUGCAAUAGUUUAUUUUAGCUUUUCGAAAACUAAAGGUUACUAUUUCAUGAAAGUUUUUAACUGUACUGUGUGGAUAGUUUGAUGUUUAUUUGUAAUAAGUUUGCUUUGUUAAAAGUUGAAGGAAAAGAAAGGUGGAGGGAAAUAAAUAUGUAAAAAU